GGGUAGAGCACUGUUUCGGCUAGGGGGCCAUCCCGGCUUACCAACCCGAUGCAAACUGCGAAUACCGGAGAAUGUUAUCACGGGAGACACACGGCGGGUGCUAACGUCCGUCGUGAAGAGGGAAACAACCCAGACCGCCAGCUAAGGUCCCAAAGUCAUGGUUAAGUGGGAAACGAUGUGGGAAGGCCCAGACAGCCAGGAUGUUGGCUUAGAAGCAGCCAUCAUUUAAAGAAAGCGUAAUAGCUCACUGGUCGAGUCGGCCUGCGCGGAAGAUGUAACGGGGCUAAACCAUGCACCGAAGCUGCGGCAGCGACACUGUGUGUUGUUGGGUAGGGGAGCGUUCUGUAAGCCUGUGAAGGUGGCCUGUGAGGGUUGCUGGAGGUAUCAGAAGUGCGAAUGCUGACAUAAGUAACGAUAAAGCGGGUGAAAAGCCCGCUCGCCGGAAGACCAAGGGUUCCUGUCCAACGUUAAUCGGGGCAGGGUGAGUCGACCCCUAAGGCGAGGCCGAAAGGCGUAGUCGAUGGGAAACAGGUUAAUAUUCCUGUACUUGGUGUUACUGCGAAGGGGGGACGGAGAAGGCUAUGUUGGCCGGGCGACGGUUGUCCCGGUUUAAGCGUGUAGGCUGGUUUUCCAGGCAAAUCCGGAAAAUCAAGGCUGAGGCGUGACGACGAGGCACUACGGUGCUGAAGCAACAAAUGCCCUGCUUCCAGGAAAAGCCUCUAAGCAUCAGGUAACAUCAAAUCGUACCCCAAACCGACACAGGUGGUCAGGUAGAGAAUACCAAGGCGCUUGAGAGAACUCGGGUGAAGGAACUAGGCAAAAUGGUGCCGUAACUUCGGGAGAAGGCACGCUGACACGUAGGUGAAGUGAUUUACUCAUGGAGCUGAAGUCAGUCGAAGAUACCAGCUGGCUGCAACUGUUUAUUAAAAACACAGCACUGUGCAAACACGAAAGUGGACGUAUACGGUGUGACGCCUGCCCGGUGCCGGAAGGUUAAUUGAUGGGGUCAGCGCAAGCGAAGCUCCUGAUCGAAGCCCCGGUAAACGGCGGCCGUAACUAUAACGGUCCUAAGGUAGCGAAAUUCCUUGUCGGGUAAGUUCCGACCUGCACGAAUGGCGUAAUGAUGGCCAGGCUGUCUCCACCCGAGACUCAGUGAAAUUGAACUCGCUGUGAAGAUGCAGUGUACCCGCGGCAAGACGGAAAGACCCCGUGAACCUUUACUAUAGCUUGACACUGAACAUUGAGCCUUGAUGUGUAG
rnacentral:rRNA from 1 species